UCCAAGGGCCUGCUUUAGUCAAUCUGUUACCAACCCUUCUCAGACUCCCCUCAUUUCGUUUUCUCCCCUUUCCUUGUUCAAUCUGGUUCUCUCGCCCUUUCACUUUCUGCUUGUUUUUCUACAGCUUCAGGGACACUUCCGACCAGGUAAACUCCUUUAUUUCUCUUCAACGCUUCAUUUGCUAAGAUAUGUGCGAGACUAUUUGCUAAUCUUAGGAUAUGUUCAAAUCUACAAUCCUUUUAACAGUAGCUGAUGAAUGUCGUGGAUAUAUGCACUUACCAAUGAUUUGUCUAGGAAAAAGGAAGAUGAGUCUAAUUUCAACUAAAGGUUUAUUUAUUUUUUCGCAUAAUAUAAUAUUUUUUAAUUAAAUUUAUGUAUUUUUUUUAAUUCGGCACUUAAGUUUUUUUUUUUAAUUUAGUACUUGAAUUUAAUUUUUUUUAAUUGAAUUUAACACUUUUCAAGGUAGUCAAUACAGUACUGGUGGACAUUUUAUUUUCUACCAGUACUGGUACCAUCCGGUACCAAUUUAUUUGUUGUAUCAUUUUGGAUUUAUCAUUAUUUAAAAAAAAAACAUUUUAUAUAAAAAUUUAUUUGCAAACAUUAAAUAAUAAUAUUAAAUAAAUAUCAAAUAUAAUUUACUCAUCAAUUAUAUAAAAUAUUAUUUAAUAAACAUCACAAAUCCAAACCUUCAUUAAACAAACUCAAAAUAAGUAGAUAGGAAAAAAUAUUUCAUAAAUUAAACAACAAGAUCUCAUAUUAUGCAUAUAACAAUCCAUAAUUCAAAAAAUCCAAAAUAUAUAAUAAAAUUUUUAAAUUUAAAUUUAUUUUUUAGUACCAGCUAAUACACCAUAUUUCAGCCAGUAGGGGCGAAAUCAAUUGAUACACACCAAUACGAUCGAUACCUACUGAAAUUUGCGCUAACUACCAGAACGGAGCAUUUUGGCCAAAACGAGUGGUACUCGAACAAAAUUUGCCUAUCAUGCAUGUUUUCCUAAUAUAGUACCUAAGCUUCUUUUUUUUUUUGUCCAAUUUGGUACUUUUGUCAAACGAUAUACAAAUUACUCUUGUAGUGCCCCAAAAAUUUGAAAUUUUGCUUGUUAAAUUUUGUUAAUAAUGAGUAUUUGUUUCAAUGGCCAAGUGUCUUAAUUGUGUGUUUGAGAUUUGAGGUUCAAAUCCCAUUUCUAGAAACACUGCAGCAAAAUAGACUUUUAACAGUAUUUUUUUAGGUCUAUAGCGCUUGUAAAAGCACCAUUUAUGAAAAAACACCACUAACUUUGACAGAUUUAUAACAAUCAAUUUUCAUUCAUAUACAACCCUUUCUGUAGCAUGAAAUCCAAUCAAAAACAGCAAAUCUAAAUAAUACUUCAAAUUCAUAAUGUUAGAAGUUACAAUGGUAAAAAUAUUCUUACGACAAGAAAACAAAUCAGUUAAAAGCUAAGAGGAUAGGAUCCUGUUGCAGGGCAAUGAUACAUCCUUGUUGGCAGCUGACUCAAUAAAUCAAAGAGAAACUCCAUAAACCUUUCACAGUACAAAAUAGAAGCAUCAUCAACUUGAUCGAAAAUACUAGAAGCAUUAAGUUCAUCAUCUUCACUGACAGGAUUCUUCUGGGUAAAAACCUAAUGAUCAAGCACCUAAGUAACAUGAAAAAUUGGCAAUUAAUUGCUGCAAAAUCAUUGAACACCAAACGCCCACCCACCAUGAAAAAAAAAGAAGCAACUUAUUCUCCAGCAUAGCACCUCAAGAAACUCUUCUAUCAGAUUUCUCAAGAAGUUAACUUCCAAUGAAGAUAAGGGAUCAAGAUGCACUCCUAGCUUCUUGGCAUCAUCAGAUUCUUUCUUUAUCAUUCUUUUCCAUUUCUUGAUCAAAUCUGGAUUUAGACAAAGUUCCAUCUAUGGAGAAAUGAUGAUGAUGAUGAUGACGACGAUGAUGAGAGAAUAAAAUAUCCAGCAGCAAAAGGAGACUGAAAAAUACAAUUCAUUCAAUAAAAUCUUACCUGAAAAUGACCAUACGACAAACUGUGCCAAGAUCGCAGACUUGCUAAUCUAAGGACAGUUUCCAUGACAAUUUCAUCUUCCAAACUCUGUCACAUUCAACAGGCACAACAUUACAAAAUUGAUAGUAGCUCGAGAAUGUUGUUCUAUGUUUACACACGUACUAUGGACUAUUUCUUAUCAUCUUCAGCUCUAUUAUAUUGUUUUAAGGUAAGAGGGUACGCAAGUCAAGUUCUCCCAUUCAACUGCCUGAGGUUAUAUUCCAUAGGAGCAAAUAUUUGACAGAUGCAUGAAUUUGUAACAUCCAAAAGCAUUCACUAAAAUGCAUACUUAGGUGCUAGAUUACCUGAAAAGCAUUGAUCAUGAAAACCAGAUAAUUCGUUUUCUCUGCAAUGGUUAAUUCUCUUCCCUGCAUCCAAACCAGUUAUCAAAGAUUUAGCCUAUUUGUCAUCAAUUUCUGAACAAAGAAUACUGAAGUACUACAUCUAGUGCUUUUGUUUGAAGAAAAGAAACAAAUAUUACCAGAUUUAUGAGAUCAUACAUAAAAAGAUAAUUUCUUUAAAAGAUACGGUCUUCAAAAGGGGUUCAAUACAGUCUGGAGGACUAGGUAAGCAAGUCGGUCAUAAAUAUUGACUUUGAAAAAGGUUAGGUAAAUAUAUGUCAACAACACGUGUCAACUUUUUCAACUCUCUCCACCCGUUUUAAUUUCUUUUUAUUUUCUUAUAAUAAUUAUACUAGGCUGUAAUUCAAUCUAGAUAUAACUUAGAUUAAAUCUUUAAACGAUAACUAUUAUCUACAAAAUUCAAAAUUGAAAUUUACUUUAUAAUAUUGUGCAUCCAAUAGGGGUAAGAUGGUGGUAGAGGCAUUGUAAACUUGUAAUUGAUGUUUAUUUUCUUUUUAAUUCUAACCCCUCAAGAGAAACUAAUAAUUCAAUUCUUAUACCACUUGGCUCUACUAAACUCUCAUUUCUGCCAUCUAGAAUAGUUCGAUAGUGAUGUCACGACAACUAUUUUAUUAUGUUGUUAAAAGUAUAUUAAUUUUUAAAACUUAGAUUUGCAUUUUAAAACACAUACAAAAAUAAAAUAAUUUUUUAUUUAAAAAUAACAUAUGCAAUAUGAACAAAAUAAAAUAUGUAAUAUGUGUAGGUGAAAACUUUUGUUUAAUAAUAUUAAUAUGUACAAAAAAUUUAAAAUGAAGCAUUGAUUGUGUAAUAAUAUUAGUAAUUGAGAUUUUAUAUAUGUUAAUGGUAUGGUUUCAAAUCUCAACAUUUAUAAUUUAAAAUGAAAAAAGACAAAAGAAUUCUUGUAAGAAUAUAAGUUAUUUCUCUAACCGACUCAAUGUACAAUUGACACUAAUUCAGUGAGGUGAAACAUUUGCUGUAGUGGUAAAGUUGAGAUUUUAUAUAUUCUAAUGUCAUGAGUUCAAAUAUCAACAUGUAUAAAAUAAAAUAAAAAUGGUUUUAUUUGAAAUGUAAAAAGACAAAAAUUACUCUUGUAUGAAUGUAAUUUAUUUCAAAUAUGUAAGGUAAUUUACUAAUGUUUUCAACCUGAUCACUUAACAUUACAUUAUCGACCUAAUAAGAAAUACAGAUAGACCAAUCAGGAAGCGUCAUACGAUAUAAGGGGUCAAACCAUCAAUAUACCCUUUUUACUUCUCAACAAGAGCUGCUCUCUCUCUUUUUCAAUCUAAGUUUUCCUUCAUAUUCCUCUAUCAUUUCUCUCUUCCAACACUUGUACCUCCCUCUUAUCAUGCUCCACCUUUAGUUAGUGAAUCAUCUCUGUCCUUUAUGACACAUUCUUGUAUCAUCAAAUAUAACAAUAAAUUUAUAAUUUUAAAAAAUCUUUAUAUUUUGAUAUAUAUAUAUAUGUAAAUUCUCACUACUAUUCUAAUUUCGCACACUCAAGCCAAAAAAAUAUUAAGGUAGAUUUUUCUUUUCUUUUCUUUGUAUGUACAUCAAAUUUUAUUUAUGUAUUGCAUUUGCUAAAAAAAUUCUUUGUUAUUGGAUAUCAUUUUAAUGUUUUUUUAAGAAAAUGCAUCAUUUAAAUGUUUCACUCUCCUCCUACUUUUGUUCCAUCAUUCUUUUAAUUUUAUAGAAGAACGUAACAAGCAAUCAAGAACAGCACCUUACUGAAGAGCUUUCACCAAGUAUAUUAUCAACAAAAUCAUAAUUGACAAAAAAAAAACCAAUAUUAUCAACAAAAUAUGUCCUACUUCUUUUAUCACCAACUCUAACAUAGAUAAAUGUAAAAUAUAAUUUGCUCAGAAUAAGAAAGAAAAAAAAAAAGUAGCAAAGCAACAAGCAAAGAGUAAUUGAACAAGUUAGAUCUAUCAAAGUUAUUUAAAACGAAUUUAAUUUAGUUAAAAAAGGGCUUUACCUUCUCAUUGACCAUCAAAAUCAUGGACAUGACAUGCUCUUACGAAGCCGUCUCAGCAUCAAAAUUCGGCCAUAAGUAAUUCUCCAAAUACUGACUAACCUCCAAUAUCAUAACCCUCUGCAACGGCACAAUUUUCCUCUGAGACUUCCCUUCCGACUUCACCGUAAGCUCGGUCUCAUAAAUAUCCUUAACCAGCUGAGGGUCGAAUGGCUUUUCAGGCUUCGAACCACCGCUCCUUAGCCAAUUCGCGGCUGCUAUUCUAGUCAGCUGGUCCCGCUAGAUUUCAGACAAAGUAAUAGAGCUCCGAAGGGAUGAACUGUGAGGAGG
rnacentral:lncRNA from 1 species